UGGUGUGAGGAAGAUCUGGCUGUGACAUCUGUCACUCUACUGAUCAGUGGGAUUCAUUCAGGUGAUCUGGCUAGCUAGGCCGGUCUCCCCUUUCCCCCUGAAGCUGAGAAGCAGCACCCCAUAGAGGAGGACGUUUGCUCAGUCAAGGGGAUAGGAGUAGCUGUGCUCUCCUGCUAGGACCUCCAAACAGCUCUCUUGAAAAUGCUAUGUCCUAAUUCCUGUAAAGUGGAUACGUUACCUUACUUGGCAAAGAGGAUGCACAUGGGGUUGUUUGAUAAUUG
ensembl:misc_RNA 7SK 7SK RNA